rnacentral:rRNA from 7 species
GAAGUUUUCAGAGAUGAGAAUGUGCCUUCGGGAACCGUGAGACAGGUGCUGCAUGGCUGUCGUCAGCUCGUGUUGUGAAAUGUUGGGUUAAGUCCCGCAACGAGCGCAACCCUUAUCCUUUGUUGCCAGCGGUCCGGCCGGGAACUCAAAGGAGACUGCCAGUGAUAAACUGGAGGAAGGUGGGGAUGACGUCAAGUCAUCAUGGCCCUUACGACCAGGGCUACACACGUGCUACAAUGGCGCAUACAAAGAGAAGCGACCUCGCGAGAGCAAGCGGACCUCAUAAAGUGCGUCGUAGUCCGGAUUGGAGUCUGCAACUCGACUCCAUGAAGUCGGAAUCGCUAGUAAUCGUGGAUCAGAAUGCCACGGUGAAUACGUUCCCGGGCCUUGUACACACCGCCCGUCACACCAUGGGAGUGGGUUGCAAAAGAAGUAGGUAGCUUAACCUUCGGGAGGGCGCUUACCACUUUGUGAUUCAUGACUGGGGUGAAGUCGUAACAAGGUAACCGUAGGGGAACCUGCGGUUGGA